rnacentral:rRNA from 1 species
CGACUCUCGGCAACGGAUAUCUCGGCUCGCGCAUCGAUGAAGAACGUAGCAAAAUGCGAUACUUGGUGUGAAUUGCAGAAUCCCGUGAACCAUCGAGUUUUUGAACGCAAGUUGCGCCCGAAGCCAUUCGGUUGAGGGCACGUCUGCCUGGGCGUCACG